AAACUUACCAGGUCAAGACAUGGGCGUGACUGACAGGCUAAUGACUUUUCUCGAUUCCAUGGAUGGUGGUGCAUGGUCGCACUUAGUUGGUGCAGUGAUUUGUCAGGUUUAUUCCGGUAACGAACGAGACCUCGGCCUUGUAAAUAGCUAUGCUGCUUACAGGGACAUUGGCGGCUACGCCAAGGAAGCUCGAGGCAAUUGCAGAUCUGGAAUGCCCUUAGAUGUCCUGGGUCGCACGCGUGCUACAAUGACGCCACGAACGAGCUUGCGUGAUGAAAGUUACGCAUAAUCAGCAGUCGGCGUCUUAAGGGAUAGUCUCUUGUAACUGUGGGACUCCAACUAGGAAUGUCUCGUAAGCACAAGUCAACAUCUUGUGUUGAUUACGUCCCUGCUCUUUGUACACACCGCCCGUCGCUCCUACCGAUCGAGUGUUUAGGUGAAUUUGAUGGACGUAAGGAAGUCAAAUAAACCUGAGCACUAGAGGAAGAGAGUCGAGCAUC
rnacentral:rRNA from 1 species